rnacentral:rRNA from 1 species
UACGAAGGGGGCUAGCGUUGUUCGGAAUUACUGGGCGUAAAGGGCGCGUAGGCGGUGUGUCAAGUCAGGCGUGAAAGCCCCGGGCUCAACCUGGGAACCGCGCUUGAGACUGGCACGCUAGAGUUCGGGAGAGGAUGGUGGAAUUCCCAGUGUAGAGGUGAAAUUCGUAGAUAUUGGGAAGAACACCGGUGGCGAAGGCGGCUCUCUGGACCGAUACUGACGCUCAUGCACGAAAGCGUGGGGAGCAAACAGG